rnacentral:rRNA from 1 species
UAACACAUGCAAGUCGAGGGGUAGCAGGGUAGCAAUACCGCUGACGACCGGCGCACGGGUGAGUAACACGUAUCCAACCUUCCCAUAACUCGGGGAUAGCCUUUCGAAAGAAAGAUUAAUACCCGAUAGUACUUAUAUAAGGCAUCUUAAAUAAGUUAAAGAUUUAUUGGUUAUGGAUGGGGAUGCGUUCCAUUAGAUAGUUGGUGAGGUAACGGCUCACCAAGUCUUCGAUGGAUAGGGGUUCUGAGAGGAAGGUCCCCCACACUGGUACUGAGACACGGACCAGACUCCUACGGGAGGCAGCAGUGA